rnacentral:rRNA from 1 species
GUGUAUUAGAUACCCGAGUAGUCCUGGCAGUAAACGGUGCACGCUUGGUGUGGGGACAUUCGACCGUCUCCGCGCCGGAGCUAACGCGUUAAGCGUGCCGCCUGGGAAGUACGAUCGCAAGAUUAAAACUCAAAGAAAUUGACGGGGACCCGCACAAGCGGUGGAGUAUGUGGCUUAAUUCGAUGCAACGCGAAGAACCUUACCUGGUCUUGACAUGCAUUCUGUCGUCGGUGAAAGCCGGCUAGCGUAGCAAUACGCGGUUUGCACAGGUGCUGCAUGGCUGUCGCCAGCU